rnacentral:rRNA from 1 species
UACGUAGGGUGCGAGCGUUGUCCGGAAUUAUUGGGCGUAAAGGGCUCGUAGGCGGUUUGUCGCGUCGGGAGUGAAAACCUCGGGCUUAACUCGGGGCUUGCUUUCGAUACGGGCAGACUAGAGGUAUGCAGGGGAGAACGGAAUUCCUGGUGUAGCGGUGAAAUGCGCAGAUAUCGGGAGGAACACCUGAGGCGAAGGCGGGCUACUGGGCCGAUACUGACGCUGAUGCGCGAAAGCCAGGGGAGCGAACGGG